CUUAUUGUGCUUGAAUGGGUAUUCCAGCAAGUAUAAGAAACUCUUUUGUAGCUCUUAGGAGAUUUUGUGCAUAGGGGUUACCUUUAGUAUAUCUGUGUCUAAAUCUUGACCAAAGAACAAAUCAGAUGGUCCUUUAAAAAUUUGAAGAGUGUCAGCAGUAAGAAGCAAGAUUAACUGGUGAAUUCUGAUUUCCGAUUAACCGGUUAACCUGUACCGAUUGAAGAAGCAAAACAAAGAUGGCCGGAUAGAUAUGAUGCAUUGAAGCCAAGGGAAGGUGGUGAGAUUUACCACUUAUGGGUCCGUUGUCACAUUAAGUGGUGGACCAGCAUGCCUGGGAAUCUCCGUCCUCAACAGGAUCUGGAAUUAUGAGGACCCUAUGAAUGACCCCAGGAAUUAUUAGCUGGUCGUCUUCAUGGACAUCGUCCAAUUUCUACAGCCAAAGUUCACUUUGAUGGAGAAUGUUGUGGAUGGCACACUUGGUCGGUAUGCCAUGUGUCGACUUGUAGCAAUAAAGUACCAAGUCUGUCUUGGUUUAUUGAUAGCUGGAAGUUUUGGGCUUCUACAAUUCUGAAUGCCCGCAUUCCUUUGGGGUGCCAAAAACACCAAGAAACUACGUCAAUUUCCUCUACCAAUGCAUAAGGAUAUUGCUCGUGGGUUUAGCCCUAAGCAGUCUGAGCGAAAUGUGGUUAAGGGGGAUGAAGAAUAUACACUGCAGUUGAAGGAUGAUUUACUACUUAAAGAUGCAAUUUAUGAUUUGCCCGAGAUUACAAUGCAUGAGACUCCAAGAUGAGCAGGACUAUGGUAAUGAAAUCCUACGACAGAUUUCUAGAGGAUUAUCCGACUACCAAAGCAGAAGUUGAUGGGAUCGGCUUAGCCUUACCCAGAGGAAUUGAUGACUUUAAAGCUUUACGACCAUAGGCCUCUGAAACUGAUUGAGGAUGAUAAUCUUCGGGUUUCCCAGAUUCCAAGGGAAAAUGUUAGUUUUUAGUACCUUGGCGAAAUCAGUUUUCAUCUUGUAAUACAAAACAUAUAUUGAUUAUAUUGUUUUGCCGACUUAUUAGGGUGCCAACUUCAGAAACCUCCCUGGUGUUGUAAUUGAUGAGAAAAACAAGGCACGUCCUGAUCCAAAAAUAAAGAAAGUAAUU